rnacentral:rRNA from 1 species
AGUGGAUGGGGAGCAACCUAGUUGUGCGUGUGUAAAGGUAGUGCCAAGAAAAGCGAUGAUCAUGUUGAAAAUCAAUUCCCGGUACCCGAAACCGACACAGGUGGGCAAGUAGAGAAUACUAAGGGGCGCGAGGUAACUCUCUCCAAGGAACUCGGCAAAAUGACCCCGUAACUUAGGGAGAAGGGGUGCCACCGAGAGGUGGUCGCAGUGAAGAGGCCCAGGCGACUGUUUAGCAAAAACAUAGGUCUCUGCAAACUCGAAAGAGGAGGUAUAGGGGCUGACGCCUGCCCAGUGCCGGAAGGUUAAAGAAGUUGGUCAGUUUUAGGAUGAAGCUAGCGACUGAAGCCCCGGUGAACGGCGGCCGUAACUAUAACGGUCCUAAGGUAGCGAAAUUCCUUGUCGGGUAAGUUCCGACCCGCACGAAGGGCGUAACGAUCUGGGCGCUGUCUCGGAGAGAGGCUCGGCGAAAUAGGAUUGUCUGUGAAGAUACGGACUACCUGCAUUUGGACAGAAAGACCCUAUGAAGCUUUACUAUAGCUUGGAAUUGUGUUCGGGCUUCCUGUGCGCAGGAUAGGUGGGAGGCGUAGAAGGUAUUCUUGUGGGGAUACUGGAGCCAACGGUGAGAUACCACUCUCAGGAGGCUAGAAUUCUAACUUAAUUAAGGACAGUUUCAGGUGGGUAGUUUGACUGGGGCGGUCGCCUCCAAAAAGGUAACGGAGGCGUACAAAGGUUCCCUCAGACUGGUUGGAAAUCAGUCGAAGAGUGCAAAGGCAGAAGGGAGCUUGACUGCGAGAAGUACAGUUCGAGCAGGGUGGAAACACGGUCUUAGUGAUCCGACGGUGCUGUGUGGAAGGGCCGUCGUUCAACGGAUAAAAGUUACUCUAGGAUAACAGGCUGAUCUCCCCCAAGAGUUCACAUCGACGGGGAGGUUUGGCACCUCGAUGUCGGCUCAUCGCAACCUGGGGCGGAAGUACGUCCCAAGGGUUGGGCUGUUCGCCCGUUAAAGCGGUACGUGAGCUGGGUUCAGAACGUCGUGAGACAGUUCGGUCCAUAUCCGAUGUAGGCGUGAGAAUAUUGAGAGGAGCCUUCCUUAGUACGAGAGGACCGGGAAGGACGCACCGCUGGUGUACCUGUUAUGAUGCCAAUUGUAAACGCAGGGUAGCCAAGUGCGGAGAGGAUAACCGCUGAAAGCAUCUAAGUGGGAAGCCCACCUCAAGAUGAGUAUUCUGGUGUAAGGUCACGGGAAGACGACCCGUAAAUAGGCACGAGGUGGAAGUGCAGAGAUGUAUGAAGCCGAAGUGUACUAAUAGACCGUCGGCUUGACC